rnacentral:rRNA from 1 species
AUACGUAGGGGGCGAGCGUUGUCCGGAAUGAUUGGGCGUAAAGGGCGCGUAGGCGGCCCGGUAAGUCUGGAGUGAAAGUCCUGUUUUUAAGAUGGGAAUUGCUUUGGAUACUGUCGGGCUUGAGUGCAGGAGAGGUAAGUGGAAUUCCCAGUGUAGCGGUGAAAUGCGUAGAGAUUGGGAGGAACACCAGUGGCGAAGGCGACUUACUGGACUGUAACUGACGCUGAGGCGCGAAAGUGUGGGGAGCAAACAGGAUUAGAUACCCUGGUAGUCCACACUGUAAACGAUGAAUGCUAGGUGUAGGGGGUAUCGACCCCUUCUGUGCCGCAGUCAACACAAUAAGCAUUCCGCCUGGGGAGUACGGCCGCAAGGUUGAAACUCAAAGGAAUUGGCGGG